rnacentral:lncRNA from 1 species
AUGCUGGCGUCCGACACGUGCCCGUGGGUGCUCCACCGUGGCCGAGCGGGAGCCACGUCCGACACGUUCUCCCCAACCCUGAUGCUGGCGUCCGACACGUGCCCGUGGGUGCUCCACCGUGGACGGGCGGGAGCCACGUCCGACACGUUCUCCCCGAGCCUGAUGCUGGCGUCCGACACGUGCCCGUGGGUGCUCCACCGUGGACGGGCGGGAGCCACAUCCGACACAUUCUCCCCGAGCCUGAUGCUGGCGUCCGACACGUGCCCGUGGGUGCUCCACCGUGGCCGGGCGGGAGCCACGUCCGACACGUUCUCCCCGAGCCUGAUGCUGGCGUCUGACACGUGCCCAUGCGUGCUCCACCGUGGCCGAGCGGGAGCCACGUCCGACACGUUCUCCCCAACCCUGAUGCUGGCGUCUGACACGUGCCCGUGGGUGUUCCACCGUGGCCGGGCGGGAGCCAUUCCGGAAGCAAAGCUGCCUGUGGAGUCACUGCCCCCUGACCCGUGCCCAGGACAGCUGCUUUCCUCCUGGGGACUAACAUGCCCAAGUGGGUGUGGGAGGGGCAUGGCCACCUGCGUGUCAGGCACGUGGGCACCCAGCCUCCCUGAAGGUCCCUCCCAUGGCCAGGGCUCCUCCCCUGAGCUACCUGCCACAGCUGGGAGGGGCCCCUGCGAAGGUGAGGUGGCUACAGGUGGCCUCAGGGCAGUGCUAAGGUCCGGCUCCUGUCGGGGGGAGGGCUGUGUGCUGGCUGCAGCAGGGGUCUCCCCAGAGGCUGUGGGGGGCAGGGCAGAGCUGAUGGUUUGCAGGGCCUCCUCCAGGAGAGGAGUCUGGGUCUGUGCAGGCGGCUCUUGCCCUGAGCCCAAGGGUAGGAAGUCUCCCAGACUAAGGCCUGCGGGUGAUGCCUCCUCCACACACACAGCCUCUUCCUCCUGCCUGGCUCCCACUGCUGGGGCCUCGACAGGGGGCAGUGUUGGCCCACGUGGCCUGCUUGGGGAACCCCCUGGCUGCAGGCCCCGGGUCACAGCCAUGGACUCCGUCUGGGUGCUCACAGUCUGGAGACACGACCUGAAACACACGCGCGUCGGGCCCUGUGUGGCCUCACGUUUCCUCCCAGCCGGCCACCACUGUUCCCCAGGUUUGGUUCCGCCACCACAGUCAACAGCCACAGACACUCGGACGUGGGGAUGGGGCAGACCAGGUGCACACGGCUCA